AUGAAAACAAGUCCAAGGCAAAAUUACAACGGUAAGACUUAAGAGUCUCAUUUUUAUAUUGCACUCUGCAGAUUAUUUGUAUGAGCUACAUUAAAGGGCAAGUAUAACAGCUAAAAAGUUCCAAAAAGCAUCAUUGGGAACUGGGAAGUCAUUACGAAGACGAAUGACAGUGCCAGAUGCAUCACAUGUCCACGCUGCCACCAGUCUGCUAACAUCGGAAAGUAAGGCCAUAUAAAAUAAAUUCCUUGAUUCUCAUCACCGCCCGACGAUAUUUUGGUUUCCGCGUUGAUAUAUUUUUGUAUUUUGUUAUAAAAUAUAAAUUUACCGCCCGACCGAGCAUCUUCAGAGACUUUAGUUAUUUUUAUAUUUUAUAUUGGAAUUUUUGCGAUAUAAAAUUGUUUUAUCGUUAAUAUUGCAACAUGUUAAGGGAUGCUUGGAAUACUG